GAUGAACGCUAGCGGUAUGCUUAACACAUGCAAGUCGAACGAGACCUUCGGGUCUAGUGGCGCACGGGUGCGUAACGCGUGGGAACCUGCCUUUAGGUUCGGAAUAACUCAGAGAAAUUUGAGCUAAUACCGGAUAAUGUCUUCGGACCAAAGAUUUAUCGCCUUUAGAUGGGCCCGCGUUGGAUUAGCUAGUUGGUGGGGUAAAGGCCUACCAAGGCGACGAUCCAUAGCUGGUCUGAGAGGAUGAUCAGCCACACUGGGACUGAGACACGGCCCAGACUCCUACGGGAGGCAGCAGUGGGGAAUAUUGGACAAAUGGGCGAAAGCCUGAUCCAGCAAUGCCGCGUGAGUGAUGAAGGCCUUAGGGUUGUAAAGCUCUUUUACCCGAGAUGAUAAUGACAGUAAUCGGGAGAAUAAGCUCC
rnacentral:rRNA from 1 species